rnacentral:rRNA from 1 species
UGGGGAAUUUUGGACAAUGGGUGAGAGCCUGAUCCAGCCAUGCCGCGUGCAGGAAGAAGGCGUUAUGCGUUGUAAACUGCUUUUUGCCAGGGGGUAAAAAGACCGUGCGCGGUUAAUUGAAGGUACCUGGUGAAUAAGCCACGGCUAACUACGUGCCAGCAGCCGCGGUAAUACGUAGGUGGCAAGCGUUGUCCGGAUUUAUUGGGUUUAAAGGGUGCGUAGGUGGCCCUGUAAGUCAGUGGUGAAAUAUCUCAGCUUAACUGAGAGGGUGCCAUUGAUACUGCAGGGCUUGAGUACAGAUGAGGUAGGCGGAAUUGACGGUGUAGCGGUGAAAUGCAUAGAUAUCGUCAAGAACACCGAUAGCGAAGGCAGCUUACCAAGCUGUAACUGACACUGAGGCACGAAAGUGUGGGGAUCAAACAGGAUUAGAUACCCCCGUAGUCCCUGAGCGGGCUGGCAAGGCGCAU